GAGCACUCACUUUGGCCUCACAUGUACUAAAAUUGGAAGGAAAUAGAGAAGACUAGCAUGGCCCCUUUGUAAAGAUGACAGAGACUGAUAUUUGACAGUCAUCAGUAACUA